rnacentral:rRNA from 1 species
UACGUAGGUGGCAAGCGUUGUCCGGAUUUACUGGGCGUAAAGAGCGCGCAGGCGGUCGUUCAAGUCGCGUGUGAAAGCCCCCGGCUCAACUGGGGAGGGUCACGCGAUACUGAUCGACUCGAAGGCAGGAGAGGGUAGUGGAAUUCCCGGUGUAGUGGUGAAAUGCGUAGAUAUCGGGAGGAGCACCAGUGGCGAAGGCGACUACCUGGCCUGUUUCUUGACGCUGAGGCGCGAAAGCUAGGGGAGCAAACGGG